AAUCCAUAGGUUAAUGAGGCGAACCGGGGGAACUGAAACAUCUAAGUACCCCGAGGAAAAGAAAUCAACCGAGAUUCCCCCAGUAGCGGCGAGCGAACGGGGAGGAGCCCAGAGCCUGAAUCAGCAUGUGUGUUAGUGGAAGCGUCUGGAAAGGCGCGCGAUACAGGGUGACAGCCCCGUACACAAAAGCGCAUGUGCUGUGAGCUCGAUGAGUAGGGCGGGACACGUGGUAUCCUGUCUGAAUAUGGGGGGACCAUCCUCCAAGGCUAAAUACUCCUGACUGACCGAUAGUGAACCAGUACCGUGAGGGAAAGGCGAAAAGAACCCCGGCGAGGGGAGUGAAAAAGAACCUGAAACCGUGUACGUACAAGCAGUGGGAGCACAGGUUUACCUGUGUGACUGCGUACCUUUUGUAUAAUGGGUCAGCGACUUAUAUUCUGUAGCAAGGUUAACCGUAUAGGGGAGCCGGAGGGAAACCGAGUCUUAACCGGGCGUUAAGUUGCAGGGUAUAGACCCGAAACCCGGUGAUCUAGCCAUGGGCAGGUUGAAGGUUGGGUAACACUAACUGGAGGACCGAACCGACUAAUGUUGAAAAAUUAGCGGAUGACCUGUGGCUGGGGGUGAAAGGCCAAUCAAACCGGGAGAUAGCUGGUUCUCCCCGAAAGCUAUUUAGGUAGCGCCUCGUGAACUCAUCUCCGGGGGUAGAGCACUGUUUCGGCUAGGGGGCCAUCCCGGCUUACCAACCCGAUGCAAACUGCGAAUACCGGAGAAUGUUAUCACGGGAGACACACGGCGGGUGCUAACGUCCGUCGUGAAGAGGGAAACAACCCAGACCGCCAGCUAAGGUCCCAAAGUCAUGGUUAAGUGGGAAACGAUGUGGGAAGGCCCAGACAGCCAGGAUGUUGGCUUA
rnacentral:rRNA from 1 species